AUACGGAGGGUGCAAGCGUUGUUCGGAAUCACUGGGCGUACAGGGCGCGCAGGCGGUUUGGUAAGUCAGAUGUGAAAGCCCACGGCUCAACCGUGGAAGUGCAUUUGAAACUGCCAGACUUGAGUACCAGAGGGGAAAGUGGAAUUCCCGGUGUAGAGGUGAAAUUCGUAGAUAUCGGGAGGAAUACCGGUGGCGAAGGCGACUUUCUGGCUGGAUACUGACGCUGAGGCGCGAAAGCGUGGGGAGCAAACAGGAUUAGAAACCCUAGUAGUCC
rnacentral:rRNA from 1 species